AAGAAAAGAAAUUUACUUCUCACAGUUCUGGAGGCUGAGAACUCCAAGACUGAGGGACUGGCAUCUGACGACGGCCUUCUUGCUGCUUCAUUUCAUGGCAAAAUGGCAAAGAGAAGAUGCUGAAACCAAUGACUUGCUUGAAGCCUGGAAGAGGAUGUUGACCUGGAGGAUCCUAAAGGCUAGAAUUUAGAGAAGAUGGUGCUGGUAAAUGAAUUCACAAGGAGAAAUGCUUCCUUCCCAACUGACUUUUCCAUGGAAAAGAGACAUACAGGAAGCUGGGAAGGACUCCUGAAGUCGUAGCCGCUGCAUUCCAUCCCCGCAUGGUCAACAUUCAGACUGUGAGUCCACGUAGCUCAUCGAAUUCUAGGCCAGGGAAUCAAAGUCUGCAAUGACCCCACACAGGUCCGUACCCAAGUCAGAGCUGCAGUAGAACAUUCUGUCUCAUGCCCACUUAUGGACACAUUUCAAGGGUAAUGCAUCAUUGAAUAAUAAGCCACUGGAAAAUUCAAGUCAACAUCUAAGAAGACCGAGAGUGAAAUUAGCAUUUGCAUUUUCUAAGUUAACUGGUGGACAGAGGAAGGAAGUCAGUGACAUCCUUAGAUUGGAAUUCUGUGGCUGUGGUGGAGUCCUUCAGCACCAUAAAUUCAUAAAGCUGACCCCGAGAGAGCUAAUAGCCGGUGCUUCCUGUUAGCUUUGGUGGAGACUGGGGAGAGGUGGCAGCAGCCCCGCAGGGAGCCAAGAGGGAAAGAAAAGACAGGCAAGGGCCAAGGCCUGUUCCAGGGAGCAGGCAAGGAGUGCCGGAGGGCAACUGCUUUUGGAGUAUUGGCAUUCAGUUUUGGACAUCACAUUUAAGAAGACAAGGACAGAAUACACGCGAAGCACAGGGAUCAGAUUGCAAAAGGCCUUGACACUGCCCCCAGAAGAAUGACAAAGACCCUAGAGGGUUCACAGCUACCGUUGACUCUGAAGACCAACGAAAGCAGGGCAAAGCUCGUGUUGUAAGACUACAAGGGCAGAAGAAAGGUAGAAACUAAGAAAUUAUCCAGCAUUCAGAGCCGUCCAAAGGCAGAGUGGGCUCUCCUGUGAAGCAAUGAGAUCUCAUCACUCAGGAGCUUGGACGUAAACUGGACCUGCAUCUGCUGCAUGUGGAAACAGUGCUUCAAGUAUUUCAGAGCUGGUUUGUCUGGGCUGUUCCUCUAAACCCGGGGAAUCCGUGAGUCCAUGACAAGUUAGGAAACUAAGGAUUUAACCUUAGCUUUGCCACAAACUACCUUAGUCAUCUUAAGCAGAACAUUUCAAUCCUCUGCUGAAAUAGAAAGCUGGACAGGAUUCCCGCCAACGUUACAUUAAUUCAUAUAUUCUACUACCUUUAUCACCAUGUGUUGCGAUCUCUGCAAAGUGCUGAUAGUUUGUGAGCUCCUCCUCCUUUCGCAGACAUCAAGAAAGGAGUUUAGGAGACAAUGUCUUAAUUGCCAUCGUGGGAUCGGCACCCAAGAGCCUGCUGGUUUUUUUGACAUUGGCCUCUUUUUUAUUUGGUUUUCUCUUCUGUAUUUCGAGAUCAAUUGCAGCAGACUAGGAGGACAGCCAAAUUAAGAGAACCCCCUUCUCCUUGGAGGAUACAUCCCAAGACCCCCAGUGGAUGCUUGAAACCAUGGAUAGCAUUGGACCCUAUAUAGUCUGCAUUCUUUGUUUUUCCUAUACGUAUAUACCUAUGAUAAAGUUCAGUUGAUAAGCUUGUCAUGAUAAGAGAUUAACAAGAAUAACUAGUAAUAAAAUAGAUAUAACAAUAAACUGUAAUAUUAUUACACAUUAUUAGGUAUGUGAAUGUGGUUCCCCUCUCAAAAACACAGGCAUACCUCAGUUACAUUGCUGGUUCCAUUUCAGACCACUGCAGCAUAGUGAAUAUCACAGUAAAAUGAGUCACACAAACUUUUGGUUUCUCAGUGUGUAUAAAAGUCAUGUUUACA